GACCAGAGUCAGUCUGCAGGAGGAGAAGGUUCUCACUCAGAGUAUAUGCCUCUGCAGAACAGUUCAACAGAUGUCUAUGAAACAAUUAAAUCAUCCAACAGCUCUCAAGAAGAUGAUGAGGAUGGAUAUGAAGAUAUGGUUCCCUCUGAC